UACAGAGGGGGCAAGCGUUAUUCGGAAUUAUUGGGCGUAAAGGGCGCGUAGGCGGCCUGGCAAGUGACGGGUGAAAUCCCUCGGCUUAACCGAGGAACUGCCUGUCAUACUGUCGGGCUUGAGUACGGAAGAGGCGAGUGGAAUUCCUGGUGUAGCGGUGAAAUGCGCAGAUAUCAGGAGGAACACCAAUUGCGAAGGCAGCUCGCUGGGACGUUACUGACGCUGAGACGCGAAAGCGUGGGGAGCAAACAGG
rnacentral:rRNA from 1 species